CCCCCCGCACGAAGAAGACGAGAUGAGAACGCGUUGUUGUUUCCGGAAAGCGGGUUUGGCGAGGCUUCCUUUUCUUUUCUUUUUCUUCUUCUUUUU
rnacentral:ribozyme from 1 species